GCUUUAAUUGCCUCCGCUGGAGCCACAGGGAGGCCUUCCCUGUCGCUGCACCUGGCAUAGAACACUGAGAUGCGUCCCUCUUCUCCAGUGGGGACCCAGGCACACCUGCCAGGACCUGUCAUUAUCUGAAAUCCCUGGGUCACUAUCAUGCAUCCUCUUUCAGCUCCUCUUUCAGCCCGUGCAUCUGAGAAGGGACCCUCUGUCAGUUUCCCUGGCACCUGCCAAUAGCUGCGCACCUGGCGGUUAAAUGGUGCUGGAAUGUGUUGUGAUUGUCGUCCCUGCUUAAUGAACCCACCUGAGGGACAGUUAGUGUCUUACCCAGCUUCCUGUUUCCCAGGCAUCCCCGUUUACACUGUUUGUGUGGAGAUUUAAAAAAAAAAAAAAAAAAAAAAAAAAACGCUGCCAUGGUGUUGAACUAAUCCAUCUGCCAGAAGUCUCAUAACCAAAUCUGCAGGGCUCCCAGAGGAGAUUUUUGCACCGGUAAUUUAAGCUAAUGAUUUCUAAACAUAUUUAGUCAGUUUUUAUGAAGACCUCAUUAGAAUGUGACUGUUUAUUAAAAAUCCAAAUGAGAUCUCACAGUGAUUUAGGGAAAUUCUUGUUGAGUCACUAAAUAGUUGUGGUAACAGAUGACAAAAUGUCUGAGAACUAAGGAAAGUAGGGAACACAGAUGUUAACUUCUGUUGUAAAUGAAGAGGGGAGGAGACUACACCGGGAAGAAUUUCAUCUGCCCAAAGAAGCCGACCUCAAAUUCCUUCCAUAGUAUUUCUCCCUGAAAGAAUAGGAAGUAAAAAAAAAAAAAAAAGUUUAAUACAAACACUGGAUGUCAGAAUUAGUUUACUAAUAAAGAGGGUAGAUUAGAAUUCAGGUGCCCAUGUUCCAUAG
rnacentral:lncRNA from 1 species